rnacentral:rRNA from 1 species
UACGUAGGGUGCGAGCGCUGUCCGGAAUUAUUGGGCGUAAAGAGCUCGUAGGCGGUCUGUUACGUCUGCUGUGAAAACCCGGGGCUUAACCCUGGGCUUGCAGUGGAUACGGGCAGACUAGAGGCAGGUAGGGGAGAAUGGAAUUCCCGGUGUAGCGGUGAAAUGCGCAGAUAUCGGGAGGAACGCCGGUGGCGGAGGCGGUUCUCUGGGCCUGACCUGACGCUGAGGAGCGAAAGCGUGGGGAGCGAACAGG